AUAUGCUCAGGGAGAGCCUGAGGCCUUAGGCUCCCAAGUGCCUUGUCGGGGUUACAUUAUAACAUCUGGGUCUGAGUAGUUCCAGGGACCCAGCCUUCAGCUCCUGCCGCACAGUUAGCAAACCUUGCCUAAGCAUACCACUGAGAAAAGAGAAUGUGACUUCCCCAGAAUCGCUCUGACAGCCAGUGGCAGAGUCAGACCUGGACCCAGGAGAUUUGUCAUGACAACAGCUGCUUGCUGACUCCCUGUGGAUGACUGAAUGAGAUGCCGUGGCCAUUUGGCUUAUUGUGUCUGCUGGACUCUGAGGUGACAGCAGGAUAAAGUAACAUAUGUGUAGGUGUCCCUCUGAACGGCACAGUGCUAGAAGACAGCUGGACACUGGGGUUAGGAACAUGGCUACAAAGUUGGACCAAUGUCCUCACUCAUUGAAGUUGUCGCUCAGGGAAAGUCACUUAUAUUUCUGGGACUUCAGUCUCUCCUAGUGACAUCCUUGCAUCUGACCCAUGGAUCCAGCCAGCAAUUUCAUGGACAUUGAAAUGGCAACAGAUGAUGGGCCAACGAGAUACGUCAGUGAGUAAAGGUGCUCACUACCGAGCCUGCUGACUUGAGUUCAAUCCCUAGGCCCACAAAAUGGAAGGUGAAAACUGACUUAUUAAAAUUGUUUUCUGACCUCCACACACACGCCUAAGUAAGUGUAGUUUAUUUAAGGUCAAUAAGUGACUAUAAACUUCUCAUAUAAAUUUCACAAUCCAAGAACUAGCUAAAAACCUAAGAAACAAGGAAAGAAACAUAAAACCUCACAUAACUAUACACAGACUGGGAGAA